UCCCUGGAGGAUCAGUGGUUAGGCCACGGCGCUCUCACUGCCACAGCCUGGGUUUGAUUCCCAGUCAGGGGA